rnacentral:rRNA from 1 species
GAAAGGCCUGCAGCUUGCUGCGGGUACUCGAGUGGCGAACGGGUGAGUAACACGUGGGUGAUCUGCCUUGCACUUCGGGAUAAGCUUGGGAAACUGGGUCUAAUACCGGAUAGGACAGCUGUUUAGUGUCAGUUGUGGAAAGUUUUUUCGGUGCAAGAUGAGCUCGCGGCCUAUCAGCUUGUUGGUGGGGUAAUGGCCUACCAAGGCGUCGACGGGUAGCCGGCCUGAGAGGGUGUACGGCCACAUUGGGACUGAGAUACGGCCCAGACUCCUACGGGAGGCAGCAGUGGGGAAUAUUGCACAAUGGGCGGAAGCCUGAUGCAGCGACGCCGCGUGGGGGAUGAAGGCCUUCGGGUUGUAAACUCCUUUCGACAGGGACGAAGCGUAAGUGACGGUACCUGUAUAAGAAGCACCGGCUAACUACGUGCCAGCAGCCGCGGUAAUACGUAGGGUGCGAGCGUUGUCCGGAAUUACUGGGCGUAAAGAGCUCGUAGGUGGUUUGUCGCGUCGUCUGUGAAAUUCCGGGGCUUAACUCCGGGCGUGCAGGCGAUACGGGCUGACUUGAGUGCUGUAGGGGAGACUGGAAUUCCUGGUGUAGCGGUGAAAUGCGCAGAUAUCAGGAGGAACACCGAUGGCGAAGGCAGGUCUCUGGGCAGUAACUGACGCUGAGGAGCGAAAGCAUGGGUAGCGAACAGGAUUAGAUACCCUGGUAGUCCAUGCCGUAAACGGUGGGCGCUAGGUGUAGGGGGCUUCCACGUCUUCUGUGCCGUAGCUACGCAUUAAGCGCCCCGCCUGGGAUCG